GACCUCCAACAUACAGUAGGAGAGUAGGAUGGGACUCCUAUAUAAAGACUCCUCUCACCUCCACUCCUCACUCACUCUCCUUAUACUCUGUACUGACUCAGAUCUGUGGCUCACAAUGCAGCUAGCACUCAUACUCACCCUCUGCUGCUUUACCAGCAUCCUGUCAUUACCAGAUAAUGAAGACAAGGGAUCAGGAGUAGAUCCAAUUAUCACACAGGAACAAGGCAACACCUUUAUGGCACGUGACCAAGGCGAUACCUCUGGAAACUAUUUUGCAGACCAAGGCUCAUCCACAGAUAAUCAUGGAGAGCAAGACCAAUUUGCUGCUUAUUUUCAUGAUAACCAAGGCCAAUUUUCUGGAUCUCCAGUAUAGGAACAAUGGGGUUUAGGGAUAUAGAGGGAAGAUUGGUUCUGGGGAGUAUUUGUUUAAAAAUGUAACAAUUUGGUUUUUAAUAACCUGGAUUUCCAGUAUAGGACUAAUAGGGUCUGGGGAUAUAAAGAGAAGAAGGAUUCUGGGGGGCCGGAGACUAUUUGUAUAACAAUGUAUCAGUUUGUUUUCUAAUAAAGAAAGAAACCUACACUUAUCUGCAUAAGGUUUAUUUGUAACAAAGGGCCUGAUUUGAAGUUGGGAAUGCACUGCAGUUGGAGCAGAUAUAAAUUGUGCAGAAAGAUUUAGAUGUAACAAGGGGCGUGCCAAAACUCAGAUCUAAAUUACAGUGUAAUAAUAUAGCUGCCCAACACUUGUGGACUACACACAUAAGCAGCCAGUAUUUACAUAUUACCUAGCAAGCUGCAAAAAAUCAGGGUACUACUGUGGUAUUUGUCAGUGAAUUUAUACACCCCCAACCUGCUGCAAAAUAAUCUUGUUCAAACUUAUUUCUUACUUCUGAUGAAGCUAGGUGACCGUGCCUAGGGAAACGCGUUAAGUGACAAGCUGCCACCAACAUAUGCAUUCCAUCCUGUGAGGAUCCAGAUAUGGACUUUAAACACAAAUAUUCCUGCCUUAGAAAUUUCCCUGUGGGACUGCAUCAUUACAGCACUGAUUGGAGUUAAUCAGCCUCUGCAUAAAACAUCUCAGCUUGCCUGCUGUUAUUUUCCAAGCUCUUGGAGGACUCCAUCACCAUGGGUAACACCAGCUGUAUUUAAACAACACUGGGGGUCAUUCCGAGUUGUUCGCUCGGUAAAAAUCUUCGCAUCGCAGCGAUUUUCCGCUUAAUGCGCAUGCGCAAUGUCCGCACUGCGACUGCGCCAAGUAAAUUUGCUAUGCACUUAGUAAUUUUACUCACGGCUUUUUCAUCGGUCUGGCGAUCGUAAUGUGAUUGACAGGAAAUGGGUGUUACUGGGCGGAAACAGGCCGUUUUAUGGGCGUGUGGGAAAAAACGCUACCGUUUCUGGAAAAAACGCAGGAGUGGCCGGAGAAACGGAGGAGUGUCUGGGCGAACGCUGGGAGUGUUUGUGACGUCAAACCAGGAACGACAAGCACUGAACUGAUCGCAGAUGCCGAGUAAGUCUGAAGCUACUCAGAAACUGCUACGAGGUGUGUAAUCGCAAUAUUGCGAAUACAUCAUUCGCAAUUUUAAGAUGCUAAGAUUCACUCCCAGUAGGCGGCGGCUUAGCGUGAGCAACUCUGCUAAAAUCGCCUUGCGAGCGAACAACUCGGAAUGACCUCCACUGUUCCCCAGGGAACUUUAUUUCUCAGUCCGGGAUCACAUGUGGAUGCAUACUAGCAGCUAUUCUUAUUUUGAUCCUCAGCUUCAAUCUAUGCCCAAUCUUAUUUGUUUUUAAGUGACAUUUUAACUGUUUAGUGAAUAAAUUAUUUACUUGUUCAAUUCA